ACUUCUCUGAAUGCCCUUUUCAGCUCGGCUCCUCUGAAGCUAUGCUCCUACCUUGUUCCAUGUGGAAAGGCUCUUCCAUUUUGCAGAGAACAUGCACACUGGACUUUGCACAGGUGAACUUCAUGGGCUCAUCUGAGGUCUAUUGGGUUGACUCAUGAACCUUCUGUGUCCAAGAGCAUUAUGGUCAAAGACAUUCAGAAUUGGCAGCCUGGGGAAUCCAGUUGCCACUUC
rnacentral:lncRNA from 1 species